GUGACUGGGAGCAAAGCAUGACAUUUCUUCCUUUCAUAUCAAAAGGCAGAAAUUCUCAUUCCUUGGAAGUAUUUGUCAUUUUGAACAUGCUUGUACAAAUUCUCUCUUAACUCCUACAAGUGCUGUGCUGUAGGUCCAGGCAUGGAAAGAUCCCAAUUAGACCAGGAGGAAGCAGGACUGAAUCUCCUCCUGUUUCCACAUACGAGAUGUUUCAUGUAAUGCCCAGUUCCAUAGAAGUUUUUCAGCUAUUCAGUAAUUAAACAGUGUCUUUGUCAGGGUACUUUUACCACAGGGAAGUCUUUCCUCUUCAUGUCUUACAUAAAAUGAGGAGGCACAGUUCCCAUGGUAGCUGUAGGUGUGAGACUGAUAUUGGAUUAGAAGAAGGUAUCUUCUUUUCUUCCUCCUCCUCUCCCGCUCCCCAUGAAGUAAAAUUGCUUGAUUAAAUAGAAACUGGGACUUGAGGUGGGUUAAGUGUGAGCUGUUUGUGGAACUGAGGUGUAGUGGCUUCCCCAGAAGUACUGGGGUAGCGGAACAGCCAUUAGAUCCUGGACUGGCCACCUCAUCUGACCUCUCCAUCUCUCUGCUCCAGACAGGAGAUGCGCUCAUACCUUCCCUAAAUGUGCUGUGCCUCGAUCACGAGGAUGCUGUAGCAAACAAAGCCUGUGUUGACCCUCAGAUCAAAGCACUGACAGAAGUGACACACUUAAUAUCGGGGGGUCCAAACCUGGAUAUCUACCAAUGGAGAUGGAGAUCAGACACUUAACAAGAACAACUUGAUACCAGAUGACAGGACCAACUUCUACCCCUUGCAGCAAACCAACGUGUACACGACAACCUACUAUCCCAGUACACUGAAUAAAUAUGACUACAGGCCCGAGGCCUCUCCUGGAAGGACCUUUACCAACAGCUGAUGAUGGACAGAUCCUACAGGACUAGAUCACUUCCUAUA